GGCGGCGUGCCUAAUACAUGCAAGUCGAGCGAACUGAUUAGAAGCUUGCUUCUAUGACGUUAGCGGCGGACGGGUGAGUAACACGUGGGCAACCUGCCUGUAAGACUGGGAUAACUUCGGGAAACCGAAGCUAAUACCGGAUAGGAUCUUCUCCUUCAUGGGAGAUGAUUGAAAGAUGGUUUCGGCUAUCACUUACAGAUGGGCCCGCGGUGCAUUAGCUAGUUGGUGAGGUAACGGCUCACCAAGGCAACGAUGCAUAGCCGACCUGAGAGGGUGAUCGGCCACACUGGGACUGAGACACGGCCCAGACUCCUACGGGAGGCAGCAGUAGGGAAUCUUCCGCAAUGGACGAAAGUCUGACGGAGCAACGCCGCGUGAGUGAUGAAGGCUUUCGGGUCGUAAAACUCUGUUGUUAGGGAAGAACAAGUACAAGAGUAACUGCUUGUACCUUGACGGUACCUAACCAGAAAGCCACGGCUAACU
rnacentral:rRNA from 1 species